UACGAGUGCCCCAAGCGUUAUCCGGAAUCAUUGGGCGUAAAGGGUGUGUAGGCGGUUGUGUUAGUCUUUUGUUAAAUUCUUCGGCUUAACCGGGGACAUGCGAAGGAAACGGCACAACUAGAGGAUGCGAGAGGUGAAUGGAACUCAUGGAGUAGGGGUGAAAUCCGUUGAUAUCAUGGGGAACACCGAAAGCGAAGGCAAUUCACUGGCGCACUCCUGACGCUGAGACACGAAAGCGUAGGUAGCGAAUGGG
rnacentral:rRNA from 1 species